rnacentral:tRNA from 1 species
GCCGACGUAGCUCAGUUGGUUAGAGCGCUGGAUUGUGGAUCCAGAGGUCGUCCGUUCGAACCGGACCGUCGGUACCA